rnacentral:rRNA from 1 species
UUCAGAGGUCUCAAGCGUUGUUCGGAUUCAUUGGGCGUAAAGGGUGCGUAGGUGGCGGGGUAAGUCAGGUGUGAAAUCUCGGGGCUCAACCCCGAAACUGCACUUGAUACUGCCUUGCUCGAGUACUGGAGAGGAGAUUGGAAUUUACGGUGUAGCAGUGAAAUGCGUAGAUAUCGUAAGGAAGACCAGUGGCGAAGGCGAAUCUCUGGACAGUUACUGACACUGAGGCACGAAGGCCAGGGGAGCAAACGGG